rnacentral:rRNA from 1 species
GACGAACGCUGGCGGCGUGCUUAACACAUGCAAGUCGAACGGAAAGGCCCUGCUUUCGUGGGGUGCUCGAGUGGCGAACGGGUGCGUAACACGUGAGUAACCUGCUCUUGACUUUGGGAUAACUUCAGGAAACUGGGGCUAAUACCGGAUCGGAGCUCCUGCUGCAUGGUGGGGGUUGGAAAGUCUCGGCGGUCGGGGAUGGACUCGCGGCUUAUCAGCUUGUUGGUGGGGUAGUGGCUUACCAAGGCAUUGACGGGUAGCCGGCCUGAGAGGGUGACCGGCCUCAUGGGGACUGAGAUACGGCCCAGACUCCAACGGGAGGCAGCAGUGGGGAAUAUUGCACAGUGGGCGGAAGCCGGAUACAGCAGCGCCGCGUGCGGGAUGACGGCCUGCGGGGUGUAAACCGCAGUCGCCUGUGACGAAGCUGGAGUGACGGUAAUGGAUAAAUAAGCACCGGCUAACUACGUG